ACUCAGCCCGAUUCCAAAAGCCCAGGGGGUGGGCCUCGCCCUUCCUCUCCCUCCAGGUUUAAUUAUCUGAAGAGUCUUGGACUUUCAUUUCUUGUUUUUUGCUCGUUUGCUUGUUUGUUUGCACCUGGUUGAUGUAUAAGUCUUGGACUUUGGGAGACCCAAAGAGAAAGAAGGUGUUGGCAAUAUCCUUGAAGAGACUAAAAGAACUCAGAACAACACUGAACAAGCCAGCAGAGCCAUCAACUCACCCCUACAGUCUCCAUAGACAGACUCCAUGAAAGCAUUGGCCAUCGGCUCUCACUGGUUUCUGCCCCAAAUUCACACACUCCCUCCUAUCACCAAAGCCACCCGCCACCGCUGGCCUCCUGCAUGCUGUGGGAGGAGAGGAGGGCAGACAACGUUGCCUCCCCUGACUCCCAUCGUGCGGGCUUCAAACACUCAAUGAGACAACCAUGGACCCUAGGGAUGCAACAGUGAAGGAGACGCAGCCUUUCAACACCUGGCAGGGCAGAGACACUUCAACAGUCAUUGCCAGCCCCAGUGGACAAUGGAAGAAGGCCACCAGCCAAGAAAUGCUGUCAGUGCCUGGAAGCUGGAAAGGCAAUGAAAUGGAUUUUCCCCAGAACCUCCAGGGAGAAUAUGGCACAGCCUCUACCUUGAUUUUCACCCAGUGAGACACAUUUUGGAUUUCUGACCUACAGAAUUGUAAGGCUGCCUGGAUCCCCAGAGUUUGUCUGGAAAGCCUCUUGAGAUGGGGUUAUGUGCUCCGAGGAUCCCAGGAGGAAGGAUGGGGCAACAGCAGACAAACCUAUGCCUCUGCAGCAGCUGUACCGUUGUCCUGGGAGUGAGCCCCAGCCGUGGCUCAAGGCACACGUGCCUCCAGAGGACAAUCUGGGAUGCUCAGGGGACAGAGAGGCAGAGGGACUAUCAGGGUGAAGCUGUCUUUUUCACUUGUUUGGCACUCAGCCCAGGGCCUGGAUUUAUCCUGCACAAAAUGAACAGUGCAGGGCCCUUCAUCUGGGGAAAG
rnacentral:lncRNA from 1 species